GUGAUGUCGUCGAUGCUAGGAAAAGUAUGAAGAGCAGGAAUGUGAAGAAAGACCCUGGUUAUAGUUGGAUAGAGGUGAAGAACAAGGUGCAUUUGUUUGUCGUUGAUGACCGUUCUCAUCCUGAAACAGCUGCUAUUUAUCAUAAGCUAGAGGAUCUGAUAAAGAGGAUUAAAGAUGAAGGGUAUGUGCCUGAUACAGAUUUUGUGCUUUUAGAUGUUGAGGAAGAGGAAAAGGAGUGUGCUAUAUGUUAUCACAGUGAGAAGCUGGCUAUCGCCUAUGGCCUAUUGAGUGUACCUCCGCCGCUUAGAAUUCGAGUUAUAAAGAACCUCCGUGUUUGUGGGGAUUGCCAUAAUGCAAUCAAAUACAUAUCCAACGUAACCGGACGCGAAAUUGUGUUAAGGGAUGCGAGCCGCUUCCACCACUUCAGCAACGGAGCAUGCACCUGUGGGGAUUACUGGUGAUGUUAACUAUUCUUUCUGUUCAGGUACUUCAUCAGACCAUGUACAAUUACUUUUUAAGUUUUCAAAUGUAAAUUAUUGAUGAUAUAUUUUUUUUAGAUAGUCAUUAUAUAUUCCCCUGCAAAUUGCUCUCAAGUUAUUUUUCUCUCUAAGUAGGCAAAUUCUCACAAUAAUUUGAUUUGAGCAUAUGUAGAUCUUUUGAAUCUUGUUGUUGGUCAUGGCAAUUGUUUUAGUUCCUCUAAAAUAUACUGUAAUAUGAAAAGUCAAAGGAUUCACUGUAGAAUUAUUAUCAAUUGCAUAGGCCUCAUGGAACUCCAUUAUGACUAGGAAAUUCUACAUUAAACGUAAAACAAAUUAAGCAUAAAUAUUCUUAAGUAAAUUGAUGAGGAAGUUUGGGAGAAGCAUCUUCGAUGAGGCCUUUGCAAUUGAAAAUUUUUCUAACGGUAAUAAAGAAUCUCACAUAAUGAUAAUAUGGUAAACAUGUAGAAAUAUAUAUAAUUUAUCUUUCGUACUCUCUCUAAACAAACACCAAACAACAGCUGGGAGAAAUUAUAACCAGGACAGUGUUCGCCCCGUCAUUGAUGAACCAAAAUAAUUAAAACUCAACAGAUAACCUCAAACCACACUAGUUCAUUGGACCAUGUUUAGGGAAGUAGUGGUUUGUAUUUGUCUCUAUCAAAGGGGUGUUUAAAUUUCGGGGAUUAGGGAUUUUUUUUAGCAAUUCUUUUGCAUGUAACACUUUUUCGCUCAUUCCGAUUCCUCCUAAACCUCUCCCCAAAUCUUUAUAUUCUAAUAGAAGAGACCCCACAGACUCCCAUCUCUCUCUCUAUAUAGCUGCUUCCUCUCUCCUUCGUCCUUGCUUCUUCCUCGCACUUUCGGUAUAAGAAACUACACAGAAGAGUCCCUAAGGCCUAAAACUUCUCCAGCCGGGGACUGGAGAAUAGGCAAUGCAAAGGAGAACACAUAACACCCAUUUAAUGAUAUCCCUUAUCAUUAUAUAAUAACUUAAUAAGCAGUAAUAGGCUAGUUUCCUUACAAAUGUACUUAAACAGAUUCAGUCUCUUGUGAAUUCAAUUUGAUAUGAAACGAGGUGAAGCGACCGGGGCCGGGGGUAAGCCUAUCCCCGUCCCGUCCCUGGUAACUCACCGGCGUUAUAUCCCGAAGCGGGGCGAUGUUCUAAAGCGCAUCUUGUCCCGCCUCUUCCUCUUUCCGUCGCGGGGCUGCAUCGCCAGGGGGAAGGUGUGCCCCUCACAUAGUGGUGAUCAAAAGCAGGAAAAAGGGAAGGGCUAAUAAUUGUUGUACCAUUUCCUUGCAGGUUG
rnacentral:lncRNA from 1 species